rnacentral:rRNA from 1 species
UUUCCGGUUGAUCCCGCCGGACCCGACUGCUAUCAGAAUAGGACUAAGCCAUGCGAGUCAACGUAGUAAUACGUGGCAUACGGCUCAGUAACACGUAGUCAACAUGCCCAGAGGACGUGGAUAACCUCGGGAAACUGAGGAUAAACCGCGAUAGGUCAUAAUGUCUGGAAUGAUUUAUGGCUUAAAUCUAUAUGGCCUCUGGAUUGGACUGCGGCCGAUCGGGCUGUUGGUGAGGUAAUGGCCCACCAAACCUAAAACCGGUACGGGCUCUGAGAGGAGAAGCCCGGAGAUGGGCACUGAGACAAGGGCCCAGGCCCUAUGGGGCGCAGCAGGCGCGAAAACUCUGCAAUAAGCGAAAGCUUGACAGGGUUAUUCUGAGUGAUUUCCGCUAAGGAAAUCUUUUGGCACCUCUAAAAAUGGUGCAGAAUAAGGGGUGGGCAAGCCUGGUGUCAGCCGCCGCGGUAAUACCAGCACCCCGAGUGGUCGGGACGAUUAUUGGGCCUAAAGCAUCCGUAGCCGGUUCUACAAGUCUUCCGUUAAAUCCACCUGCUUAACAGAUGGGCUGCGGAGGAUACUAUAGAGCUAGGAGGCGGGAGAGGCAAGCGGUACUUAGUGGGUAGGGGUAAAAUCCGUUGAUCCAUUGAAGACCACCAGUGGCGAAGGCGGCUUGCCAGAACGCACUCGACGGUGAGGGAUGAAGGCUGGGGGAGCAAACCGGAUUAGAUACCCGGGUAGUCCCAGCUGUAAACGAUGCAGACUCGGUGAUGAAUAGGCUUCGUGCCUAUUCAGUGCCGCAGGGAAGCCGUUAAGUCUGCUGCCUGGGGAGUACGGUCGCAAGACUGAAACUUAAAGGAAUUGGCGGGGGAGCACCACGAGGGGUGAAGCCUGCGGUUCAAUUGGAUUCAACGCCGGA